rnacentral:rRNA from 1 species
UACGUAGGGGGCAAGCGUUGUCCGGAAUCAUUGGGCGUAAAGAGCUCGUAGGUGGUUCGGUAAGUCGGAUGUGAAAUCUCCAGGCUCAACCUGGAGGGGUCAUUCGAUACUGCCGUGACUAGAGGUCGGUAGGGGAGUGUGGAAUUCCUGGUGUAGCGGUGAAAUGCGCAGAUAUCGGGAGGAACACCGAUGGCGAAGGCAGGUCUCUGGGCCACUACUGACGCUGAGAAGCGAAAGCAUGGGGAGCGAACAGG